rnacentral:misc_RNA from 1 species
AAGUGAAUCAAACUUCAAAAUAUUAGCUCCUGCUUCAAUUAGCUUUUCCACACAAGAGAUCUUCCCAUGCAUUGCUGCUAACAUCAAUGGAGUCUGUUUAUAGCGAUUCAACAAAUCUGGGUUGAUAGAUUUGUUUAACAGCAUAGUAACAAUCUCGAUCUGGCCAUUGGCAGCAGCAAUAUGAAGAGGAGAUUGUCGAUCAUAUACAGUAGAAUGAUGAAUAAGAGAUGGGUUUUUGUCUAAAACAGAUUUUAAUGUGUCUAAAUCACCACACUGAACAGCACUGAAUAAACCAUGUUCAUCACUCGUUCCACAACUCAGUCCCUGACCCAUUUUUCGAGAGAGAAAAAAAGGGAACUUUUUUGCACCACCGUGAACGGCGGCGGCGGAGGUGGUGGAGAGUGGUGGUGGAGAU